UGUGCCAUGGUGGUUUGCUGCACCUAUCAAUCCGUCAUCUAGGUUUUAAAGCCCACAUGCAUUAGGUAUUUGUCCAAAUGCUGUCUCUUCCCUUGCCUCCCACCCUACGACAGGCCCCAGUGUGUGAUGUUCCCCUCCCUGUGUCCAUAUGUUCUCAUUGUUCAACUCUCACUUAUGAG